rnacentral:rRNA from 1 species
CACGUAGGCACCAAGCGUUGUCCGGAUUUAUUGGGCGUAAAGAGCUCGUAGGCGGUUCAGUAAGUCGGGUGUGAAAACUUUGGGCUUAACCCAAAGCGUGCAUCCGAUACUGCUGUGACUUGAGUUCGGUAGGGGAGUGGGGAAUUCCUAGUGUAGCGGUGAAAUGCGUAGAGAUCGGAAGGAACACCAGUGGCGAAGGCGACCACCUGGACUGAUACUGACACUGAGGUGCGAAAGCGUGGGGAGCGAUCCGG